GUAGCUGCAUCCUGUUGUGUCCUGCUCUGACCCUCCAUGGGUUCCAGCUGUCUUCAGCUGUCCCUUGCCCUUGCCUUGUGAGCCAUGUGAAACAAAACAAGAUUACAGAAGGGCUGGAACUGCAGAGAGCUGAGAUAAGAGCCCUACCCCUUCCUUGGUGCUGUGAGCACGAUAUGAAGGAUGAAGAGGAACUCAAGAUGCUGUCAAGAUUUCCCUUUGUACAUAUCUGAUGGGUUCAUGCCAGGUUUGGCUCCGUGCCUUUCCAGGGCACAGCCUCUACCACCAGGACAAGGUGGUUCAGCCCUCGGUGCAGCGAUGGAGACGGG